UACGUAGGGUGCGAGCGUUGUCCGGAAUUAUUGGGCGUAAAGAGCUCGUAGGCGGUUUGUUGCGUCUAUCGUGAAAACCUGCAGCUUAACUGUGGGCUUGCGGUGGAUACGGGCAGACUUGAGUUCGGUAGGGGAGACUGGAAUUCCUGGUGUAGCGGUGAAAUGCGCAGAUAUCAGGAGGAACACCGGUGGCGAAGGCGGGUCUCUGGCCUGUAACUGACGCUGAGGCGCGAAAGCGUGGGGAGCAAACAGG
rnacentral:rRNA from 1 species